GAAACAUAAGAGUGCUCUUCAUUGAGGCUCGUUUUAACUAUCCAAUACACUUGUGCAUUUGAAAUUUAACAUCUUGUUGUCUUCGGACGACUUGAUUUAUAUACACCCCAUUGCUUUAUUAGAGAUGAUGAUGUUAUAAUUUGAAAUAUGAAAGAACAACUUUCAGCAACGGAUUUCUUGGCUCU
rnacentral:misc_RNA from 1 species